UUUGAUCACCAUGGGAUAUCGCCAAUUUACAUUCUGGAAUAAAACCAGAUGUUCUCACGCAUUCAUCAUCAUCAAGGGGAACAUGAUGGAAGAAUAAAACAAAUCCUAAUAACAAGUUAUUAUCUUCAUACCAAUUCAUUGGAAGUUCUACACUUACUUCACAUCCCAUUCUUUGAUGACUUACCCAUUCUGGUAUUCCACUACUUCCUGGAAUGAUAAUAUUAAGUCUCCGCUGCAGAAAAAAAUGUCAUGUAAAUCUCAUGUUUUUUAAAAAAUAAUAAUACUAAUAAUAAUAAAUAAAAAAUUAAAUUUUUUUUUUUUAAAAAAAGAUAAUUAUGCCAUGAAAAUGAUACCUGAAUUGGUGAUUUCAAGUGUUUGAGCAAAGAAGACCAGAGUAGACUUGAAGAAGUUUCAGUUUCCAGGGAUGGACAACCAUGUGCCUCUAUCCACCCUAGACUUGAUGGAAGCUCUCCAAUUACUUCAAGCAUCGGACAAUGAUUCAUGAGAAGGGUACCAAGCUUACAAAGUUGAGUGAUGCCAGCAGGUAUGCAACGCAUAUGGUUUUCACUUACGUUUAAAAAUUCCAGUGAGGAUAGACACCAUAAAUCAUUGGGGAUUUCUUCUUCCAUCAGAUUGCAACCACCUAGAUCUAGCAUUGUUAAGCAACAUUGCAGGCUUCUCAAAUUGUCAGGCAAGUUGUGGAGCUUUGGACAGUUACGAACAUGAAGACUAGUAAGACAUGUCAAAUUACCGAUGCUAUUGGGAAGAGCCACAAGGUUCUCACAAUUGAUCAAUUCCAAGGAUUUAAGACCUCUCAUAUGUUCGAUUGAUGAUGGCAGCUCUGAGAUACCCGUCUCACGUAAAAAAAGGCGUUCUAAUUGUUCCAUAUCCUCCGUGAUCUCUGAAAAAGCCUCUAGAUUUGAACAACCAUUGAGAGAGAGGCCUUCGAGGGAUUUCAACCCACAUAUACUGUUUGGAAGACUUUUCAAAUUUCUACAAUUUUCCAAAUUUAAGGGAUCAAGUCUGGUGAGAUGACCUACUGAGUAGGGUAAUCCUUUAAUAGCAGUCUCAUCUAGAAAAAGAGCCCAUAGAUUCCCCAUAUUUUUUUGGAUCUCAGGAAACCUCUCAAGACUUGAGCAACCACUGAGAGUAAGAAUUUCAAGGGCCUGCAAGUGCCCAAUGCUAUUUGGGAGUUCCUUAAUAGCGGUUUUCUCUAAAGAAAGCUCCUUCAAGCAUUUCAUAUUCCCUUAGAUCUCUGGAAAUUUCUCAAAGUUUGAGCAAUAUGAGAGGUUAAGAUUUUUAAGAGAUUCCAAAUACCCAAUGCUGCUUGGGAGUUCUUUAAUACCACUCCCAUAUAGACGUAGCUCCCUUAAACGUCCCAUAUUUGUAAAUACAUCUGAAAAGUUCUCAAACUUUGAACAUUCUUCAAGAGAAAGCAUUUCAAGAGAGGUUAAGGACCCAAUGCUAUUUGGGAGUUCCUUAAUAGCAGUCUCAUCUAAAAAAAGAUUCAACAAACAUUUCAUAUUCCCUUGGAUCUCUGGGAAUUUCUCAAAUUUGGAGCAACAUGAGAGGUCAAGAAUUUCAAGAGAUUCCAAAUACCCAAUGCUGCUUGGGAGUUCUUUAAUACCACUCCCACGUAAAUGAAGCCCCCUUAAAUGUCCCAUAUAGGUAAAUGUAUCCGGAAAUUUCUCAAACUUUGAACAUCCUUCUAAAUAAAGCUCCCUCAAAAAUUUCAUAUUCCCAUGGAUCUCAGGAAAUUUCUCAAAGUUUGAACAAUAUGAGAGAUUAAGGACUUCAAGAGAUGCUAAUACACAAUGCUACUUGGUAGUUCUUGGAUCUCACUCUUGUUUAAAUAAAGCUCCUUCAAACAUUCCAUAUUGCCAUGGAUCUCAGGAAACUUCUUCAAGUUUGGACAACAAUUAAGAUAAAGAACUUCAAGAGAUUCAAACUUCAUGCUGGAUGGGAAACUUCGGAGCUGUUCACAUCCUCCUAAAUUCAAGUAAGUCAAACUUUUGAGAUCGCCAAUAGAUGAAUGAAGUUCACGCAACCUUGUACAACCUUCAAGAUUCAGUCUCUCCAAAUUUGGCAUGCUUGAGAAUUUUGGCAUUUUGACCAAUUGUUUUGAGUUACUUAGAUCAAUGCCCUUUAAUUCUUUAAGACGCUGUAACAUAAGACAAUCUGUUAAUAAAAAAAAAUUCUUUAACUUGAAAAUUAUUAUAAAGAAAAAAAAUAAAUAAAUAAUGUUCAUACCUUAUUCCCUUUCCAAAGUUGUUUUAUGUUGCUAGACUUCAAGUUGAUUUCAAGAAGGUGCUUUCCAUAAAAGUUCCAAGGUAAAGACGUCAAAGUGCAUCUUUGCCAAUGAAGAUAUCUCAAAUCAUGAGGAAAUUCAAAGUCUUUUGGAAGAAGCACUUUAUACUCUUCUCUCGGCAAACCAUCAUGAUCAUUGCAAUAGAUUUUAAGCAACCUAAGUUUCUUCAUCUUGGGAAACACUUUUGUAUUGAACUGUAUUUCUCUUGAUCUAGACAAGUCCAAAGAUAUGGUUUGAAUAUUUUGCAUCUCCUGGAAAACAAUAAGGAAAAAUAAGGGAAGAACACAAGAUAAAAAUCCUAACUAUAAUUAUAGAGACAAUUAACCACUAAAAAGUCGAUUAUAAACAUUUAAAUAAAUAUUUAGGCAUUUAAUUCGUACCUCUUGUUUAGAAAAUGCAUCAUAAAUAUCAUCUACAUCCCACAAUCUACUCCAUUUGCAGGGGUCUCCAGGACAUUCUUCACGAACAAUUGCCCAACCCAUUUCUUGUAUCAAGUCAUGCAUUUGUAUGACGUUGUCUAAGAUAGUUACUAGACAUCUAUCACGAAGAACUCUUAUGUUGCAUGUUGCAAAUAAAUUGCAACCAUCUAAUAUUCUUGACACAAAAUCUUUGCAUUCACCUUUGAAAAAACACGCAAUGUCCAGGAAAACCUCCUUUUGAGAAGGAUCAAGCCCAUCAAAACUUAUUCUAAGCACAUCAUUAAUUUCCUUCAUAGGGUUUUUUUUUGAUUUAUCCGAUGCGCUUUUCCAUUCAUCUAUUGUCAUGCCCUGAAGAGAAGAACCUAGAACUUUAAGGGCCAAAGGGAGACCUUGAGCAUAUUGUACCAUGCAAUUUGAGAGGUCUACAUAAUCUUCUUUAGGAACAUUUUGUUUAAAGGCAUGUUGGCUGAAGAGUUGAAGAGCUUCCUCAUAAUGUAAUUCUGUAGCCUUAUGUGAUAUAGUCACUCCAUACUCAACCAACAGAUGUUGGUCUCUAGUUGUAAUGAUAAUUGUACUUCCUGGACCAAACCAUUUAGGACUUCCAGCCACUGACUCUAAUUGCUGCAAUCGAUCCACAUCAUCAAUUACAAUAAGAACCUUUUUUGAGCCAAGUCUGUCCUUUAUUAUAUUGAUUCCUUUAUUGAUAUUGCUAAACUUUUCAUCAUUCCCCACUAUAUCAUGAAGAAGUUGUUGUUGUAGUUGAAGUUGACAACCCUUGUUGAAUGUCUCUCUGACAUCUUGAAGAAAGCUAGCACCAGUGAAUUGAUAUUGGAUCUCAUUAUAAACAAUCUUGGCAAUGGUAGUUUUACCAAUUCCACCAAUUCCAUAUAUCCCAACCACACGAAUGUCAUUCAAGUCACUACUUAACAAUGACUUUAGUUCUUUUAGGCGAAAAUCCAUCCCAACUAUAUCCUCGUUAAUGUGCAAAAGCUUAGAAUUCAUUGAUCUUUUAAAAAUCAGGUUAACAAUUUCCUUAAUAUGCUUUGACUCAUACCUGCCAAUUAUAAAGUACAAUUUAACACUUCAUGAGUUAUAAUGAAUUGCAAAAAGAUAACAAAUAUUAAGUAAAUUUAUUGAUAUUUUUUUGCUUUUGUCAAUAUAACAAAAGUAAUAGGAUGUAAAAAAAUGUUAAAAGAACCCACUAUAUUGGGCAUUUUACAAAUAAUGAAAAGGCAAGUAGUUUUGAGCCAAGUGUUUAUAAGAUCACAAAGCAAGCUUUACUACACAAAAUUAUUAACUUGUUAAUUCAUAAUUUAAGACAACUAAAUCCUUACAACUGAAUUAAAUCAAAAGCACAAAUUAAGGAAGUUGGAGUUACCCAUCAUUCACAUGGAAACCACUUAGAUUGCUUGCUUCAGUCAAGGAAUCCCUCCACCUUUGCACCUUUUUCACAUCUACAUUUCUUUCAUGAAUGGAAAAUGCCUCUCCGAAGCUCCCUGUUUGCUUUUGCACAUCACAAGGAUCCACGUGGUAGAACACCGGAAAGACUAUUUGUUCCAUUUCUUCCCUGCACUCCAUGAUCUUUGCUAACUCAUCCAAACACCACUUGGAAUGAGCAUAGUUUUUUGAAAACACAACUAUGGAAAUUCUUGAUUCUUCAAUAGUUUUCAAAAGUUCUGAUUUGAUCUCUUCUCCUCUUUCAAGUUGAUCGUCUCUGAAAGUCUUAAUCCCCAUCCCAUCCAAAUUUACGAAUAAAUGAUCCGUAAAAUUGUUGCGGGUGUCUUCACUUCUAAAACUCAAGAACACUUCGAACUCAUAUUUACGGACUGAGGUAGAAGAAGAAGAGGGUUUUUGGGUAGAGGAAGCCAUUGUUGGACAGUUUCUAGAUGAAAGCUUAGAGAGAGUCGAGGAAGAACUUGGGCUUAGUCAAUACUUGAUACGCCGACGGCAUAUUUGGGUCCUCGUAUGAAGCAAAACUAUUUUUUUUUUUUGGUGGUUGUGGGGUGGUUGGAUUGUAAAAAGCAAAGAUCGAUUUUCCCAAUACAUUUAAGCAGGCGAUCCUCUUGCCAUUUUUUGGGUCCAAAUGCAUAAGCAUGUGAUUUGUCAGUUAAAUGUCAAGGAGUAAUGAGUGGGGAGGUCGGUGGCUUUUAUUAUUAUUUUUUAUAUUUUAAAUAAAGAUCAACAUUUUAAAUACAUGCUUAUUACUAAAAAAAAUAAAAAAAUUUAACAAAUUAAUUAAUUUUAAUUAUCUUAUUAUUAAAUUUCAUUUAACUUAUUAUGAAAAUGUAAAAACCAUAAUAAUGAUUUACUGAAAAUAAUCUCUAUGUUUUUUGUAUAUUAAUUAUUUAUAAAUUUAUAUAUAUAUAUAUAUAUAUAUAUAUAUAUAAUUUAAAAAAUAAAUAUUCAUAUAUCAUUAGUUAUUUUAUACCCUAAAAUACAUUCAAACUAAAUAGAACAUUAUUUUUAUAAUAAAUGUGGUAAGAUACUUUAUAAAGUACCCUUUUCUUUAUUUUUAAGUUUUCUUUUUCACUUUACAAACUCAUCUAUGUUGCUAAAUGUAUCCCUUUUUUUGUUUUACAAUUUUUAUAUUCUUUCAACUUUUCAAACUCAAUAAUCCUUUAAAAAAAAAUUAAUUUUUAAAACUUUAUCUUUUAUAAAAAGUUUCUAAAACCAUAAAAUUUUUAGAUAAAUUUAUUAUUAUAUUUUUCAUUAAAAAUAAUAAUAACAAUGAAAUUUUUUAUAACGAUGAACCAUAAUAUUUCAAAAUUUCACAUAAAAUCUCAAUUACUUUAAAACGAAUGUUAAAUUAUAAAGAAUAAAUAUAAAUAAAGAGAUAAUAAUUAUUUCAAUUAUAUUCUAUUAAAGCUUUUGUUUCUCUUGUCUAAUAUUUAUAUUGACUCAUACAUAUCUUUCUGUUCCUCCAAUCUAAAACCAUAAAAAAUAACACUAAGGCAUUUUACAUUGGUGAAAGAAUACAUAGCAUGAAUAUAUUUGAAUUUGCAAGAUAAUUAUAUCAUGCAUCACUAAAUUUAUCCAUAAAAAUAAACUUACGAAAUGUUGCAAAUUAAAUAAUAUUUUUUUAAUCAAGAUUGGAUUGAAAAGGAAUUUUAUGAAUAUUCUAAAAUUCAUUCUCCCAUUUGAUUUUCGAGCAAAUCCAUGCAAAAGCCCCAAGAAAAACCAAAAAAAUUGUUUUUUUUUUUGCUCCCUAUGUUUUUUGGAUUUGUUCUAGGGGUCUCCGUCCCCCAUUCAAUUUCCAAAAAAAUUCAUCAUCGUUUGAUUUUUGAGAAAAUCCAUGCAAAACCCCUAAUAAAAACAAAAAAAGAAAUUUUUUUUUUUUUUUUGCUCCCUGUAUUUUUUGAGUCUAUUCUAAGGGUCUCUACGCUUUUGUGCAAUUGGAUUUAAAUUUCACAAACCCUAAAUCCACGAUUUUUGAGUCAAGCUGAAAAACACAACAUUUACCAGUCAACCGGUGAGAGGUGUGAGUGGGAGCCGACUUCACUAGGAGGGAGGGAGAGGCGGACGGUGGGUAUGGAAAGAAAAAAAAUAUACAAUCUUAAUAUAAAAAAUGAAAUCGGCUUAGAAUAUAUAAAAAAAUAUAUAAUUUUUCACAUUAGUUUUCAGAUUUUGUAAAGUUGAAUUCGGAAAAGUAUAUAUCUGUGGAUUGAAACCAUCAAAACACAAGUUUCCAGAUCAUUUAUUCACAAUUGUCAGAGUGUAAUGAGUGGGGAGAUGGGUGGCUUUGAAAAAAAGUUAAGUAAUUCAAAAGCAACGGUCAUCAUGUGACAAGAAUCAUUUAUUCACAAUUGUCAGAGUGUAAUGAGUGGGGAGGUGGGUGGCUUUGAAAAAAAUUUAAGUAAUUCAGAAGCAACUUAAUUCAAAAGCAACUUUAUUUCCUUGCGUUUACAUACCGAAAAUGCCGUUCAUGUAUGACAAUAUUUCCAUGAUAUGGAGCUUCUAACUGUUCAGGAAUAAUAAAUCAAGUUCAAUCGAAAAUGAAAAUGUCAUCGAUAUUGCAACAUUUCCACGAUAUAUCGAGCUUCGGUGGGCUUGGACAUGACAUAAAGUGGUGAGAUUUCCUUUGCUCGAUUUUUCGGGGAGAAAAUAUAUUAAGCACAGUGAUUUUUAUUUUGGUAUUACUUUGACCAGUCAAAACCUUUCAAUAUUAUUGCCAUGGAUCCUUCCCCCUUUAAUUAUUUUUAUUUUUCAUAUUCUAUUUUAUAUAUUAUUAAAAAUAUAAAAAUAUCAUAAUAAUCUUAUUAAUGAGGCAUUCCUUAUUUUUUUUUAAAAACUUAGAUAUAAAAUUAUUAACAUUUUUAAACAUAAAAAUAUAUUCAUAUAUCAUUAUUUUUUUUUAUAUUUUAAAUAAAGAUCAUCAUUUUAAACACAUGUUUGAUUACUUAAAAAAAAAAAAAAAUUUAAUAAAUUAAUUAAUGUUAAUUAUCUUAUUAUUUAAAUUUGAAAUUUCCAUCUUAUGCAAAUUUCAUAAAUUUGAAAAGAUCUCAUAUUAAUUUUUUCCAAAAUUAUAUUAUAUUGUAUGAACCUAGAAAACUUUUAAAAACUUUAAAAAUAUUAAAGCCAUUAUAAAUUUUAUUUUAUUCAAGUUUUAAAAAAUAAAAUCAUUAUGGAUUUUAUUUCAUUUGAGUAUAUUAAAUCACUUUUUAAAUACAUUUUAAAAUGAAAAAAAUUAGAAAAUAAAAUCAUUAUGGAUUUUAUUUUAUUUGAGUAUGUUAAAUCACUUUUUAAAUAUAUUUUAAAAUGAAAAAAUUAGAGUGCGUGUAUUGCCAAGAUGUUGACUUAGGCAUUGGAAAAAAUAGUAUAUGUACAUAUAUUAUUAUAAUAAUAAAUAAUGAGAAGAAACAUACAACUUAUUGUUUUAGUUUUAAGAUUUUGUGCGUGUAACGAAGAUAGAAGGGUAAUGAAUUAAUUAUGUAUUGAAUUUGAAAAUUAAUAAAAAUUAUAAUAUUUAGUCAUGUAGUUAUAUUGAUGUAUGGUAUUUAAAUUCGUUCUAUUAAAUUUUUCCUUUUUCUAAUGAUAUAAAAUGGGUGCAUUAAAUGUUUAAUAAGACAAAAAUAAUAAUAAGAGGAUAUAAAUGACUCUAUAGAUAUUUUAAAAUAAGUGUAUAAAAAGGGUCAUCAAAAAUAUAAUUUUUGGAUUUAACAAAAUAACAUCUGAGUUUUAAGUUUAAAAAAAUUUAAAACUACAAUCGUCAAAGAUGGGACGUAACGAUACUAGUUGGGAUAUGGUAACAUUUUCCUUUAUAAAUAUACUAUAUUUAUAGAUAAAUAUUGAAUACAUAGGGGAUGUGCAUGGGGUCUGAAAGAUGGGUAUAUGUGAAUAUGGGUGUGAGGGAGUUAGUGAGAAAUGGAGAUGACCAAUACAUGCAUGGUUCUUAUGCACGAGUAGAAAACGAGUAGUGGGGCAAUGAAUGAGGCAUCUUGGCGUGGUGGGUAUGAAUGGUGGAAAGGCACUGAAACGAAGUGGGUUUGAAGGGUUCGGUGUGUGUGAGUAAAUGUCAUAUGGGGGUAUGAUGAGUAGUGGUACCCAUGUGCAUGAGAUUAGUUAUAUUGGGUGGUGUAGGUUGGUAAGAAAACGGUGUGCUAGAGAGAGAAAGGUGGUGAUGGGCAUUUAAGUUUAGAGGGAGAAACGGGUCUAGUGGGUAUGUGAAUAAUGGAAAUGCGUAAGAGGAUAUGAAGAGUAGGAUGGGUGGUAGUGGAGUAUGAGGUAUGAUUAGGAUGGGAAGGUGGCGAGACUGCAUGGGAGAAGCUGUUAAUGACGAGUGCAAAUGAGAGGAACAGUGACGAUAGAGUAGAUGCUGCAUGAUCAGCAAAGGCAUUCACAAAUUGGGGUGGCUGGCUUGAAGCUGGGGUUGAGACCAAAACAUUUAUCAUUGGAGGAGUUAGUGGAGAUCCCUUCAUCAAUGAUGACCAACCAGGCAUUGGGCUUGGAACACUACGAGGUAGUUGGUUGCUGCGUCCAUUAACAUAGCCUAGCCACAAAUAUGCUGAAGUAUCCAGCAGAUUCCUAGCAAUACAAACCUCAACAAUCAGAUGCCGCAUGUUUCCAGAACAGUUCAUUGACAAGUCAUUCAUGCUCAUGCCAUCCAGGUACCCACUCCCGGCCGUGAUGGACUCUGAUUCUUAGUUAAAUCUUAUUUUCCAAUUCCUUUCUCAGUCUUACCUACAUGAUCAACUUCACGUGAAAUAAUAGGACUUGAGCUCUCAUAUUCAAAGGUGUGUUUCAAUGGUUAAUUCAACACAGCUCCCUUCUUAGACACAGUCCUUGAAGAUAUUCCUGCACCCCUUCCACUAAUAUUUGACUUAUCAUCUAAGCCAGAGUGGUUAGAUGAAACCAUGCCUGAUGAUUGCUCCCUAUUAGGAUUUUCACGUACUCGAAACUCAGUGCGCUGGAUUCGUUUGGUUUCCUUUGAAAUCCACUAGAAUCUGCCCGAGAAGACUCAGGAACUGGAAAUGAUGAUCUUGGCCCAGAAUUCUUAACUGUGAACAUAUAUUUUUUGCCUUUACCAGCAAAUAUUGGGCCCUGAGCCUUUGACCCACUUAAAUCUCUGUCCCUUGAAAAAGAUUGGGAUGAUGUGGAUCCAUUUCGUGGCAGGCCUUCAGAUUCUCUGGCAUUGGACAAGGAAAUGUAGUUCUUUUUAAUUGUUUCAUGAUGCCCUUGAUCUGUCACUUGGAGUCCUAAUUCAUACCUACUAUUGUGUUCAACAAUAUGGACAUAUCAGCUAGGGCAUGACUUGUCAUAACACUACUGUUUGCACUUACUCUCAGGGGCAAUGACUACUUCUUUUGAUGCGUUGUCCUGUGGCAGAUCCAAGCUCCUUGGAACAAGACCAAGUUGACUGUCCAUUGGAAGGGACACUACGUCAAUCUUAGUGUUUUGAAUGGCUUGAACGUGGAAAAGCCAACCUUCAGGAUUCUGAUUGGUUGUAAAAUGGGCAGGGGCAUUGGGCUGAACAAAAGACAUUGGUUGAGGAGCCAGUGGUAGAAUUCCUUGGGAGAUAGGUGAUGUAUAUCUGAGUUGACCAAACUGGAAGAGAGGAGGCUAUGAUGUGUGUAUAUGGGUAAGUGAUGAACCAACUUGGGGAUGUAGAUGGAGAGGCAUCUGUAUGGAGCCAAUCUGGAGUAGCAGAUACAGUAGACGUAACCGCCUUCCCAUAUGAGGAAUGCAUGGCCACAUUAACAGAAGAGGGAGCGGGAUGCAGUGAAGUCUGACUAGAACUAAUAGAAGCAUCCACAGAAUUCAAAACAUUAGAUGCCACCGAGGUAUGAGGACCAUUAACCGGCUGUAUAACUAAAUCUUGGAUUGCCUUUCCUGCGUCUUCAUCCCUCCUGCCAGAACCAUCAAUGCUCACUUGAGGAGAGCCAUCAGUAAGUUGAGGGCUUUGUCCUUCAUGUAUCCCACCAAAAGCACCUUGUUCCUCUACAGUACCAAGAGAAACCUUCGAUAGCAUAAAUGUGCUUUCUUCAUUUCCUGAACUUCUCUCAAACUCAUCACUUGGCAUUCUAACUUCAACACCCUCAUCCAAGCCCAAGACCGAGUUGUCUACCGUGUGGGGAGAGCCUUUCUCUCCUAAAUGCACAUCCUCCAACUCCUUGGUCAGGUUAAUAUGCUCAUCUACUUCAUGCACUUCAUCUUCUUCAUCUGAACUCUCUCAGAAGCAUUUCGAUUAAAACGACCAGACCAAACAUGAUGCCCAACAAAUACAUGCAUAAAGUCACCUAGCCAUGAUAAGUGUGUUGCAACUCUUCAUACCCAUGGACUGAGAACAUAUUUCUUGCAGUACCUUACCUCUUCAGGCAGAGAUGGGAAAUCUGAUGCGGUCUACAGCCAAGCAACAGGAACAGAGGAAAACAGCAAACAGAACACAAAUAAUGGGAACCAAAUGAACCCCCACCAACCUCAUUUCACGUAUCAAUCAAUGAGCUUAGACGUAGGAGUGGGUCAAAGCAGAUUUCAAAUGAGUUUUAAAACAAAAUUAAGACAUGAAUGCCAAUAUCUCAUAAUCUCAAAACAGGGGACAUAAAACAGAUUAGAAAUCAAAGGCAAGUGCAAACAAGCUCAAAUUCCAUAAAAAUAAAAAUAAAAAACAAACUAAAAUCCCCAAUAAAUACAUUCAAACACCAAAAUAGAAUCUCAUGAUACCCAGAUAAUGCAAUAAAAUGGCAUGAACGUGGAAAAGCUAACCUAUAGAAAUAAUAUCUAAGCCUCCUUUUUUCAAGGCUCUUCCCCUGCGUGUUUCUUCUUGUCUCUGACUGGGUUUCUCUUCCAAGAAAAUACAACUGAUAUCCCUUUACCCAAGCAAUCUUACUCCUCGGGUAACCACACUGCAGCGCCCUCCCUCUGUAACCUCUCAAAACUCUCUCUCAUGUACUCCCUCAACAAGACUUACAUCUCAAGCUAACCUCUCACUGCCCAAAAUAUCUCUCCAAACAGCAGCGAAGACAUCACCCUCAAAAAAAAAAAAAUAUCUCUGUAAAAAAAUCACCUCCCUCUCAAUACGCUCUCUCUCCCCCCUCCAACUUGCUGCCCAAGCUAAAGGAAUCCCCUCUAGAAACCGAGUUUGCUCCCUCUCUAGCUAAAACUCUCCUCCCAAGCUCUCUGCAACUCAAAAAUAUCUCUCUCAAACCAGCCCACGGAAUACCCUCCUCAGACAACAACUUCUCCCUCCCUCUAGCUUGCUACCCAAGCUAAAGAUGAAAACCUCUCUAAAAAUAUCUCCUAAAAAAACCCACCCCUGAAAAACACCAUCUACUCCCUCAAAAUGUCUCCCCCCAAAACGACAACGAAGACCCCAACUAGCUGGCUACGCUCCUGCACCAGCUCACUAACGGCCUGCAACUUUUCCAAACUCUUCUUGACACGUGUCCACCUUAUUGCCUCUUCAAUCCACUAUUAUGAUUCCAUAGCAGCCAUCCCUGAAGCAACACGUGGCUCUUUGAGAGCCUUGGUAAGAAAAACUCACAGAAAAGUGAGAAAAAAUGAGCCCCUAAAAUGGGGGUCAACACAUGAUAAUUGUUACGGCCUAUGUAUUCAUAAAUGAAGCUUUAAUUUUUUUUUUAAUUAAUUCAAACCAAAUUUUGGCCUAAAAUAGAUACAAUAAUAUGAUCUUUCUUUUUGAAUUCCAUAAUUCUUUCCAAAGAUAGAAAAAAAAAGUUUUAACUUUAGAUUGCCCAAGAACAUAGAAUCUCCAAAUUUCAUAAAAUAAAUAAAAAACUAUUUAAAUGACUUGACCAUAUGUAAUUUCGUAUUGAACUCGGUAUUCUUCCAAGCAUGAAAUCAUCUUAAAAAUUCUUUAGAUAUAUUUUUUCCACUAAUUUUAAUAAGUAUUUUAACAUUCAGUAAAACCAAAAAUAGAGAGGCAUACCUUAUUGAGUUGAGAAGGAAGCAAGACAUGUCUUCAUUUUUUGUGGUUUGAGUUCUCUGCAUAAGAACUUUUGAUUUUAUUGUAAUGACAAAUUAAGAAAAAUAUGAUCUCAAAAUUUUUAAUCUAUGGUAAUGACCAAAUAAAAAAUAUAUAGCUAUGAAAUGAGAAGUAUAUCAUAAGUUACAUGUAUCCAACGUGAAGAUCAAAAGAUAUGGCAAAGAUAUAGCUUUGAAGGAAAGAGGUAGGGACCAGAGUAAAAAUAAAAAAUAAAAAAUAAAAAAAUCAUGAGUUAUAAUAAACACACAAAAACUUUUAUAUUUCAUGAAGUGCCGUUGAUUUAAAAAUAAUAAGUAAUUAUUGAUAUUAGUUGUAAAAGAGAAAAAUAUCAAAUAUCAAAUGAAAAACAAAAAUAGAUAAAAAAAAAAUAGUUUUAAUUAUUGGUAUUAGUUAUGAAAGAAAAAAAACCUAUAAAGGAUUAAAUGAAACAAAAAAUACAGAAAUUUAUAUUAAAAAAAUAAAAAAUAUUUUCAAAGAAUUAAAAAAAGAUAGCAAGAAUUUUUUUUUUAGUAGAAUUUUUCAAUUUUUUCUUUUGUAAAAAAACUUUUUAAAAAAUCAUUAAUUUUAAUAAAAUUUUAGAAUUUUUUGAAAUAAUUAAAUUGAUAAAUUUUCUAUUUAAAAUUUAUUAUAAUAUAGAGGUAGCACUAUCCUUAUCAAUAGUAAAUUAGUUACAACAUGAUUAAAUCUAAAAUUUUAGGUAUCUUAAAAAUCUUAAAGUCAACCAAAACAACCUACACUAAAAAAGUUAUUUAAUAAACUAUAAAUUAUUUAAAUUAAAUUAAAUUUUAUUAACAAUUAAGUAGAAAUAAUCUAAAUAAUCAUAUAGUCAUUUGUAGUUUAGUAACUACUUAAUUAAAUUUAAAAAUUUAAACAUUUAACAAAUAUCAAAAUCAAACCAAAUAUCCCAUCACUAAAAAUAUUAACUUUAUAAUUAAAAAAACAUUUUUAAAAAUUUGUUUUAUGAUAUAUAUUACGAUUUAAAUAAAAUUAAUUUUAUAAGCAUUAAAUAAAAUAAAAAAUAUGAUAAAUAAAUAUUUUAUAAAAUCUAUUUAGUAUCGGCAUUUAUCUAAUUUCUUUUUUUUCAUACAAAAUCGUUUUAUGAGGAGCUGAAAGCUUAUAUUUUGGCUUUUUAUUCUUUAACAUUCCUAAAUAAAUAGAAGGAUAUUUUGCCCCAAGCCCACCAUGCUCCUUCACUAGCCCUAGGUCAUGCUCUCACCUUUUAGAUUGUUUAUAAAUGGAUGCUUCGCUUUCUCACAUUACCAAAUGAGAAAAAGGCCAAAGCGAGGGCAAAAUAACUAUUAAAUUAUAUAUGUUUCACGUAAAUAGAGUUUUUGUAACAUAAUCAAUCAAUUUAAGAAACAUAUCAUAAUUAUUAUUAAGCUCUAAAUAUAUAGUUUACGUGAAAAUAUUCACCUUCCAUUUUGCCUCCUAAAUUGCAUGCUUUUGACUACCUUCAAAAUUUCGAUAAUCUAUUCCAAAUAUGAUACUUGAAUAAGUCAUAAAGUAUUUUUUUUAAAAAAAGAAAAAAGAAAAAUGAGUUCUAACUUUCAAACAAACCUAAGGUAGGGGUUCUCAAAAUUUCCUAAAAUUUUAGGAAAAUUAAGAACACAUAAUUAAAAUAAAAUCAUGAAAAGAAAAAAAAGGAAAAAAUGACUCACUAGGUUAUGAUUUUAAAAAUUAUUUAGAUAUUUCUUUUUUCACUAAUUCAAUCUAACAAAUAAUUUAACCAAUGAUUAGUUAUGGUUCCAUGAUAUGAUGAUGAUAGUUGUCCUCUACUUUUUCAUCUUAAAAAAUGAAGCAAAAUAAGUAUUAAUUCAUGCUUUAAAAGAUGAUUAUGCAGUUUAAAAAACAUAUGAUUUGGCAUACCAAUUUAGAUAUGAAGUUCUAAAUAAAAAUUGUAAUUAAUUCAAACAAAAAUUUUGGCCUACCAAAAUAGCUACGAUUUUUCUUUUUAAAUUCAAUAAUUCAUUGUAAAGAUAAAGCUUUGAUAGCUGCUAAGAUAUUUAUUAAGGAAAAAAAAAGUUUUAACUUUAGAUAGGCCAAGAAUAGGGGAUCUCCAAAUUUCAUAAAAUCUUUGGAUGAUUACAAACAAAUAAAUCAAAAUAAAAGCUUAAAAAGAAAAAACUUAUUUAAAUGACUUGACCAUAUCUAAUUCGAUAUUGAACUCCAUAUUCUUCCAAUCAUCUAAUCAUUUUAAAAAUUUCUAGUAAGUAUUUUAACCUUCAAUGAAACCAAAAACAGAGAAGGCAUACAUUAUUUGGGUGAGCUGGAAACAGGGAUGUCUUCAUUUUUUCUAGUUUGAGUUCUUUGUAUAAGAACAUUUUAUUUUAUUGUAAUGAAUAAAUGAGAAAAAUAUAAUCUCAUAAUUUUUAAUCUAUUGUAAUGAGUAAAUAAAAAAAAUAUAGAUAUAUAAUUAGAAGUAUAUAAGUUAAAUGUUUCAAACCAUCUUUUAUAAGAAUAUCAAAAGAUAUGGCCAUAAAGGACAACGGAGUUAGGUGGAUAGGGGGAAAAGUCAAAAGACCAAAAAAAAAAAAAAACUCUUAAUUUAUAAUCAACAUACAAAAACUUUUAUAUUUCAUGAAGUGGUCUAAGUAUCAUUUUAAAAAGUACGUAAUGAUUGACAUUAAUUAUGAAGGAAAAAAAAUAUAUGAACUAACAAAUGAAACAAGAAAAAUAGAAAAAGAAGUGUUGUAAUUGUUGAUAUUAGUUAUGAAAAAAAAAUAAAAACUAUCAAAUGAAACAAGAAAAAUAGAUAAAGAAGUGUUGUAAUUGUUGACAUUAGUUAUGAAAAAAAAAUAAAAACUAUCAAAUGAAACAAGAAAAAUAGAUAAAUAAGUGUUUUAAUUAUUGAUAUUUGUUGUAUUAUGUGACUCAUAUUGAGUGAAAGACAUAUAGAGAAAAAUGUGCAAAUACUGAAACAAAGCGAAGUGAAACGGAGCAGAGUAACAACAUUUGCCAUUCAAACUUGUAUUUUUAUUGUUGUGGGCGAAUGAUAGGUUGGGAGGGUUCGAGGAAGGGGGGCGUCUUCCCGCAAUAUAGUGUAGGGGUAUUUUGGAAUUUCAUUACCUAAGGGUUAGUACAAAUACCCUUUUUAUAUAACCCUAAUUUUAGAUAUAGUGAAAGUUUUCUUCCCUAUUCUCGUGGAUGUAGACAAUCUGUUGAACCACAUUAAAUUUGUGUGUUUUUCUUUUCAUUUUCUCUAAUUUUCACCAUAAAUCGUUGCAUGAAACUUAACAAUUGGUAUCAAAGCGUCAGGUUCGAUGUCAGGGAUUUCUUUACGAAGUUCGACAUAGUCAAGUUCGAUGGAUUCGGGAAUUUCGAUUUAUGGCAGAGGACGAUUAAGGAUCUAUUAGUGCAACAAGGUAUGGUUGAUUACUACUCAAAAAGUGUUAUUUCAUAGCUUGUAAUUAACUCUUUUAAACAUUUUUGAGUAUUGGUUAUUACCUUUUAACCCAAUUAACAUGUUAAGGACCCUUGUAAUCAAUUCUAAUAAAAAAUGUGUUAAGUUUUGGUGUUUUGAUAGCUUUUUGAUCACCAAAGCAAUCUGAGAUUGAAGAGAGUUCUUUGGAAUCCAUGCAAGGAGUAUACCCGGACAGGGUGUCCGGAUACACCAUCGGAGGGCAUCCGGACAAUACAUCCGGAUAGUGGAAGUGCGCCACCAUUCCAUCCGGCUGCCGCCACUUUAUACCCGACUGCCGCCACUUUACACCCGGAUGCCGCACUUUCCACCCGGAUGUAUCACAUCCGGAAAUCUGCUGCCGCCGCCAUUACAUCCAGAUGUCUCACAUCUGGCACAUUAUAUCCGGAUAUUUUGCAUCCGGCGCCUGACGCCGGAUGGGAGAGGAGAGCGUUUUGCACAGUGUCACGGUGUUCUCUUGAAGCUUCCCGAUAUUUGCACCGAAAUUUUGGGAUAUUUUGAGAUAUUUUGCUUUAGAUAUUUAAUGUCGGUGUUCUCCUGAAGCUUCCAGAUAUUUACGACUGACACUUUGGGAUAUUUUGUUUUAGAUAUUUUAUGUCUAAAUUCCCAAAGUCUCCUUGUAACCCACCAAUUAUAGGAUUCCUUAGUCUUUAAGUAAGUACAAAGGGUAAAUAACCCUUUAUAUAUAGUUUGUAAUCUUCUUUGAAAGAAGGAUCAGAAUUAGAUCUCGGGAGCCUGUUCCCAAGGAGGUAUAUCCUGGGAGCUUGUUCUCAGAGAUGCAUCCUUUGUACAGUUUUGGGAAGGAAGUAAAAUACAGAGUACUUGCUCUGCUUUUGUUUUCUCGUUAUUUUCUUUCUAGCUAAUCAAAUUCUAAGGAUUUUUCCUCAGAGGAUGAGAGGUUAGGCUCUUUGUUUCUUGGAGUGAAGAAAGCCGAGUAAAUUUCCUCAUGCAUAAAUUGGAAGUUUUGUUGUUUUAGUUUUUAAUGAAGAGAAAGUGUGACCCAUUAAUGGUUUUUAUCUUUUUAGUUAACUUAAAACGCCUUUAAAUCACCUGGGCCAACACUUGGUAAGCUUUUGGACUCUACGGAGACAUCCAUUAGUUAUCUCUUGCGAGCUUUUGACGGGUAAUCCAAGGUUAAAGAUCACCUUGAAUGGCAAGUGCUAGGUGAGAGGUAUGAGCCACUGCAAGGUGCAUCAAUGAGAGAGAUUUAGUGUUUGAACCCAUUAAUGGGAAGCAUCUGUACCACACCGGUUCGGGAAAUAACUAUAUGUUAAAUCCCCAAUGCGAGGAAAAUAAACGAGUGACCGGAACUCUCCUUUUUGUAUGAGGAAUCUGAACCUAGUGAUCUAAACUCCAAGAGACACUUUUCUUUAUAAGUAAAAUCAGUUACUAUUUUUGGUUAGUUUAAAACCAAACCUUUUUCCGCUAAAGAUUAUGUUUUCUUUUAAAGCUAACCUUGAAAUGAAAAGGCAUCAAUUCAACUUUGAAUUAAUAUCAAUUGUGAAGUGAAAACCCAUCCCAGUGAACGAUCCUAGAGCCACUAUGUUAUAGUAGCUUUGUCUUUACUACCCUAGUUCAUGGUGUAAUAGGUUAUAAAUUUUGUUGAUUACUCCCUCAAUCAAGGAGCACCAGCUGGACAUGAAUCAGCUGAUACACCAAGUGGGCACGAAUCAAAUGGCGCCGUUGCCGGGGAUGGUGCCACUUUACAGUGAUAUGACCUUUUCAGAGUACUUGUGAUCUUCAUCACAAGUUUGGUGACUUUUCUUUUCCUUUUACUAACUCUUUUUAUUUGUUUAUUUUCCUUUGUUCAUGUUUUAGUAUAUCUUUUAUUUAGUUUUUAGUUAAACUUAAUAAUUUUCUUUAGAAUUUUUUUUUUCUUUUGUUUUCUCUGUUUUUAAUUCAGAAAUUGCUAGUUGUGCAUGCCAUAUUGAAUACGAGAUAGCAGAGGAAGCCAUUAACUUCAUGAGUUAAGUGGCUAAAUUUUCAAGAGGAUGGGAUGAACCAAAUGUUAGAAAUAUGGGCAGAAUGACAUCUCAACCUAAAACUAAGGGUGAGAUGUAUAUUUUGAAUGACGGCAUGAACAUGAAGGCAAAGAUUGCAGCUAUGGAAAGGAGAUUGGAAGAGCUAGAAAUGAACCAGAUGCAAGAAGUGCAAGCCAUCUCUCAGACACCAUUGCAAGCUAUGCCUUGUGCCAUUUGUCUAUCUUAUGAGCACUUGGUGAAGGAGUGUCCUACCAUUCCAGUGGCGAGGGAAAUGUUUGGUGAUUGCAACACCUACAAUUCCAAUUGGAGGAAACAUCCAAAUUUCUCUUGGAAACCACAGCCACCUCAGUACCAGCAACCUACUCAAGCACCACAGCAAGCCUCAAACCUUGAACAAGCUAUGAUGAAUCUUAACAAGGUCAUGGGAGACUUUGUUGAAGCUAAAAAAUCCAUUGUUGAUCAAGUCAGGCAAGAAAUUGACAGCCAAGACAAAAAGACGGAUGGGAGGUUGAAUGAUCUGUCUCAGAAGACAGACAAUCUCGAAUACACAAGCUCAAGGUUUGCCAACCUCAACGCAAUGCAAGAGAAAGAAAACUUUCUUUUUCAACCUCAUAAAAAUCAAAAGGGUAUCCAUGAAAUAGAGGUUGGGGAGAGUGAUAAAGAGGUUGAUCUGCCCGCAUGCAAGCUAGAGCAUGAGGUAGAGAGUGAAACAGAGAAAGAAAAGAGGGAGGAAAUCAAAGGAAAGAGAAAGGGGAAAAGUACAGAGAAAGAUGACUGUAUAAAUGAAAAAUCACAGAGAAUAGUCAUCAAGGAAGAAUUGAUGAAGAAACGCAUACCUCCACUUUUCCUCCAAGCUUUGUAUGGGAAAAUCAUACAAAACAAAUCCCAAGUGAGGGAUGCAAACUUCAUAUGGGAUCCGGGCAAGCUAAAUCAGGAUCAAAUUUUUUUAUGGACUUAGUCUUUUUAAAGACUAGCUAGUCCAUAUCUUUUUGUUUUGUUUUUUACUUGUUUUAAUUUUGAUUUUAAUGUUUUAAAUUUUGAUUUAAAUGCUUUAAUUUUGAUUUCAAUGCUUUAAUUUUAAUUUGUUUUGAUGUAAUAUAGGUUUUUGGAUGAUUAAAAUCAAGAGGAAUGUCAAAAGAGUUGAAAGAAGGAAGUUGAGAAUCAAGAAGAGCUCAAAAAGCAAGGAGAGAGCAUGGCCUGCGAAAUUUCGCAGCAAAAGUGAGCCGCUGCGAAAAUCGCCCCCCUCGCUGCGAAAUGGUUUCACAGCCUCCAAGCGCCCUCUGCAAAAAUUUUCACAGCUGCGAAGAGGUCCCUUGGCACACGAGUGCCAUUUCGCAAGCCUGUACACCCGUUUCGCAGCUGCGAAAUGGCUGCGAAACCUCCACGCCUUGAAAUCCUCCAUUUCGCAGCCGAUGAGCCAUUUCGAAGGGUGUUUCGCAACUGCGAAACCACCCUUUGGCACACGAGUGCCACUUCGCAGCACCCGUACGCCCAUUUCGCAACUGCGAAAUGGGCUGUGAAAAUUGCCCUCCUCCGCGAAAUCCACCCCCCGCUACGAAAAUGCUCAAAGCUUCAAAAAUGGGCUGCAAAAUUCCCAUUUUGUUGCCAAAUGAUUUCCAAACUUCCAAAUGGCUGUGAAAUGAUCUCCAAGCUUCAAAAUGGAUGUAAAAUGGCCUCUAAGCUUCAAAAAGGCUACGAAAAAGCUCCAGGCAUCAAAAUGGGCUGCGAAAUGAUUUCGCAGCCCCAUAGCUACCCCUUGUGAAAUCCUCCAUUUUCUGUAAAAAUGGCCUUUUGAUUGCGAAAUGAUUUUCCAAACUUCAAAAUGGUUGUGAAAUGAUUUCCAAACUUCGAAAUGGGCUGCAAAAAUGUUUUUCUUUUUUCCUUUUGGCUUCGAAAUGGCUAAGAAAUGGCCUCCAAGCUAUGAAAUGAUUUGCAAAAACACUUUGCAAAACCAAGGGAAGUUGCAAAAAUGCCAACAAAGCCAUGCAACCAUGCAUCUAAAGAGGAGAGCCCUCUCACUGAGAUCACACACAUGAAGCCUCUCACUCCACUUCUUACCUCCUAAAACCAUAAGAGCCCAUAGCUCCAGUUGAGGAGACUAUGCCACCUAAGGAGACUACCAGAAUAGAGGCCAAAGUCAUGAUCCAACCUACUCAAGAGGCCACCACAGAUGUAUUAACACCACAGAUGCAUCAGCUCCACAGGACCUUACCAUUAUUUGAUCAUCUCUUUACUUUUUGUCUUUACAUAUUAUAUUAGUAUACAUAAUUCCAUGUUUUGAUGUCUUAUAUUCUGGGAUUGGAUGUAUUACUGAUGAUGCAUCAUAUAUAGACAUCAAUUCUUGUUUAAAACUUGGCAUUUUUCUAUUUGCUCUACUCACUAUUUUUUUUGAAACAUGUGGUUUCUCCUAUACGACUCAGACUCCAUGUCACCCAGGAGGUACCACUUCCUCCCUAUUAUUCAAUCGUGUUGUCACAUUGAGGACAAUGUUCAUCUUGGUUGAGGGGAGAGUUGAGGAAGUAAGUUUUGUUAAUAAUGCUAAGUUAUUUUGGUAAUUUAGUUGUUUUUGUUUAAUUUUUAAAAUUUUUUGAAAGUUUUUUAUUCUACUCUCCAUGCUUAUUAAGGAAAAAUUUUCAAAAUGAAAAGGGAGAAAUUGAAUUUUUGUCUUUUUACUUAACUUAGAGUUUGUAUUAUGCUUAUUAAAGUUGAUGAAUUGUUGAAACUUCUAUUGAAUUCAAGCUUAUGUCUUCCACUUUAAGCUAUUCACACACUGUGCACAAUAGGUUCCGAUUAUAAGAUGAAAAACUAUUUCCCUCUUGACUUAGGAAAAUUUAGACUUGGUACCUUUGACAUCAUUUAAUAGUGUUGGGACACCUUAUAAAAGGCCAAUGAGUCUUUGAAAAAAAAAGAAGAAAGAAAAAUGUUUGCUUACCUUGAAACCCGAGCAAGGUCCGAGGGGUAUAUGGUAAAAAUCUUUAAAACCUGGUGCCCUAAGCCUUCAUUGGUUGGGAGUCACCGACCUCAAUACUCGUUACAAGGGUGAAUAUGUGGAGUUUAACAUACUGUAGGUGCUUAGGUAUAAAAAUUCAUUCUUAAAAGUCCGGGGUAAAAUCCGAGGAGUUAGUCGUUGAAAAAUCCUUAAAACUUGAUGCCCAAAACCUUAAUUGGUUGGGAGUCAUCGAUGGAUCCCCAUUACAUGGACAGUUUAGAAAAGAAAUACCUUUAAGCCUUGUACUCCUACAAUGAAAAAAAUUGUGAAAAAAAAAGGUGCGUUCUUAGCCUAUUGGAGGUUGAUCAGUUUGCUAAGCUUUGAAAAAAGAACUAGGUUGGGGGGAGAGAUUAGUUCAACAUACUAUAUUCGGAAGCUAAUAAAUAACACUUAGAUUUUUGUGGAAGAGUAAGGUUUGACCAUUUGGGAGUGGAAACUCUUUUAAAACUUAAAUUUGCAUAAUGCCUUCUCUUUAAGAAUAAUGAUUAGACAAGUUAUUUGAUAACUCUUGUUGAAAUUUGAGUUUUAUUUCUUUAAAUGUUCCAUGUGAGAGGUAGAUCAUCAUGCCACUUGAAAAUUGUUUUUUGAUCAAGCAUGAUGUUGUAAAUUAUAGUAUUGUUUAUUUUUAUUUUUCUCUUCUUCAUUGCUAAGGGACUAGCAAUAUGUCGGUUGGGGGGAGUGAUUACUACUCAAAAAGUGUUAUUUCAUAGCUUGUAAUUAACUCUUUUAAACACUUUUGAGUAGUAGUUAUUACCUUUUAACCCAAUUAACAUGUUAAGGACCCUUGCAAUCAAUUCUAAUAAAAAAUGUGUUAAGUUUUGGUGUUUUGAUAGCUUUUUGAUCACCAAAGCAAUCUGAGAUUGAGGAGAGUUCUUUGGAAUCCAUGCAAGGAGUAUACCCGGAUAGGGUGUUAGGAUACACCAUCGGAGGGCAUCUGGACAAUACAUCCGGAUAGUAGAAGUGCGCCCCCAUUCCAUCCGGCUGCCGCCACUUUACACCUGGAUGCCGCACUUUCCACCCGGAUGUAUCACAUCUGGAAAUCUGCUGUCGCCGCCAUUACAUCCGGAUGUCUCGCAUCCGGCACAUUAUAUCCGGAUAUUUUGCAUCCGGCGCCUGACGCCGGAUGGGAGAGGAGAGCGUUUUGCACAGUGCCGCGGUGUUCUCUUGAAGCUUCCCGAUAUUUGCACCGACAUUUUGGGAUAUUUUGAGAUAUUUUGCUUUAGAUAUUUAAUGUCGGUGUUCUCCUGAAGCUUCCAGAUAUUUACGACCGACACUUUGGGAUAUUUUGCUUUAGAUAUUUUAUGUCUAAAUUCCCAAAGUCUCCUUGUAACCCACCAAUUAUAGGAUUCCUUAGUCUUUAAGUAAGUACAAAGGGUAAAUAACCCCUUAUAUAUAGUGUGUAAUCUUCUUUGAAAGAAGGAUCGGAAUUAGAUCUCGGGAGCCUGUUCCCAAGGAGGUAUAUCCUGGGAGCUUGUUCUCAGAGACGCAUCAUUUGUACAAUUUUGGGAAGGAAGUAAAAUACAGAGUACUUGCUUUGCUUUUGUUUUCUCGUUAUUUUCUUUCUAGCUAAUCAAAUUCUAAGGAUUUUUCCUCAGAGGAUGAGAGGCUAGGCUCUUUGUCUCUUGGAGUGAAGAAAGCCGAGUAAAUUUCCUCAUGCAUAAAUUGGAAGUUUUGUUGUUUUAGUUUUUAAUGAAGAGAAAGUGUGACCCAUUAAUGGUUUUUAUCUUUUUAGUUAACUUAAAACUCCUUUAAAUCACCUGGGCCAACACUUGAUAAGGCAAGUGAUCUCCAUCCAUUGAGAUGCACUAGUUUAUCUCUUGCGAGCCUCUGGGAGGUAGUUUGAAGGUAGGAUUUUCUAGAAUAGCCAACACUUGGUAAGCUUUUGGACUCUACGGAGACAUCCAUUAGUUAUCUCUUGCGAGCUUUUGACGGGUAAUCCAAGGUUAAAGAUCACCUUGAAUGGCAAGUGCUAGGUGAGAGGUAUGAGCCACUGCAAGGUGCAUCAGUGAGAGAGAUUUAGUGUUUGAACCCAUUAAUGGGAAGCAUCUGUACCACACCGGUUCGGGAAAUAACUAUAUGUUAAAUCCUCAAUGCGAGGAAAAUAAACAAGUGACCGGAACUCUCCUUUUUGUAUGAGGAAUCUGAACCCAGUGAUCUAAACUCCAAGAGACACUUUUCUUUAUAAGUAAAAUCAAUUACUAUUUUUGGUUAGUUUAAAACCAAACCUUUUUCCGCUAAAGAUUAUGUUUUCUUUUAAAGCUAACCUUGAAAUGAAAAGGCAUCAAUUCAGCUUUGAAUUAAUAUCAAUUGUAAAGUGAAAACUCAUCCCAGUGAACGAUCCUAGAGCCACUAUGCUAUAGUAGCUUUGUCUUUGCUACCCUAGUUCAUGGUGUAAUAGGUUAUAAAUUUUGUUGAUUACUCCCUCAAUCAAGGAGCACCAGCUGGACAUGAAUCAGCUGAUACACCAAGUGGGCACGAAUCAAUGGUGAAGGUGUUAUCCGGAAAACAACCAAAAAGAAUGAAUGACAUGGAUUAGAAGGAUUUGGAAGCAAAGGUUGCGGCAACUAUCAGGCUUUGUUUGGCUGAUAAUGUGAUGUACCAUGUCAUGGAUGAGGAAUCAUCGACGAUAAUUUGGUUGAAAUUGGAAAGUCGGUAUAUGUCUAAGUCAUUGACGAACAAGUUGUAUCUGAAGUAAAAACUGUAUGGUCUUAAGAUGGUAGAGGGCUCAGAUCUAAGCCAGCAUAUCAAUGUGUUUAAUCAUAUCAUUAGUGAUUUGAAGCGAAUUGAUGUGAAGUUCGAAGAUGAAGACAAGGCGUUGAUGUUAUUGAAUUCCCUUCUUGCUUCUUCUACAUAUGAAAAUCUAGUUACAACUCUGAUGUGGGGAAAAGAAACUCUUGAUUUGGAGGAUAUCACAAGUAUUCUUUUAGGAUUCAAUAAGAAGAAGAAAGCCAAUAAUGAGAGUUCUCGGGGUGAAGGGCUUGUGGCAAAAAGUAAUCAGGAACGUGGGAGAAACAAGUUUCGGAGCGAAUCGAGUAACAAUAAAUCUCGAUCUAAAUCCAAGAAGAGAAAUGACAUACAAUGUUAUAAGUGCGAAAAAAAUAGGGCACAUGAAACGAGAUUGUCCAGAGAAAAAGAAAGAGGGCUCGGUAUCGAAAAAUAAAGAGGGUAUCAAAGUCUACAAAUGCAGUGGUAGAAGAAGACUCAGAGAGUGGUGAUGGUGAUAUGUUGUUGGUUUCAUCCAGUUCAAAUCAUCUUACAGAUUCUUGGAUCUUAGAUUUAGCAUGGUCUUAUCAUAUGACACCCAAUAAAAAUUGGUUUAACACAUACAAGUUAGUAAAUUCUGGUUCUAUUAUGAUAGGUAAUGAUGUUUCAUGCAAACUUGCUGGAAUAAGGAAUAUCAUAAUUAAAAUGUUUGAUGGUGUUGUUAGAACAUUGUGUGAUGUUAGACCUAUACUUGAUUUAAGAAAAAAUAUGAUUUCUUUGGGGACUUUAGAUUGUAAUGGGUUUAGUUACAAGUCUACAAGUGGAGCAAUGAAGGUGAGUAAAGGUGUUAUGAUAGUGAUGAAAGGGCAGAAGCUAGCAAGUAAUAUUUAUAAACUGUUAGGUUCCAUAGUUGUAGAUGCAGUUGCAACUGUAGAGUCUGAGUCAGAUAGUACAGUUUUAUGGCAUAUGGGUGAGCGUGGGAUAAUGGAGCUUUAUAAGAGAAAUUUGUGUCAAAACAUGUAAACUUGAUUUAUGCAAGUAUUGUGUUUUUGGGAAACAGAAUAAAGUGCAGUUCAAGAUAGCCACACACAAAACAAAGGAGUUUCUUAACUAUGUUCAUACAAAUGUUUGGGGACCAAUGAGAGUAGCAUCAUUGGGAGGAAAUAUGUAUUUUGUGACUUUUAUUGACGAUUACUCACUAAAGGUUUGGGUGUACUUCAUGCGGCACAGGUCAAAAACAUUUUCCAAGUUUAAGUUAUAGAAAGCUGAAGUAGAAAACUAGACAGGGAGAAAGAUAAAGUGCCUCAGGUUAGAUAAUGGUACUGAGCAUACAGAUUCAAAAUUCACAAAAUUGUGUGAGCAGCAUGGGAUAAAAAGACACUUCAUAGUAUGCAAGACACCAGAACAGAAUGGUGUAGCAGAAAGGAUGAACAGAACAAUAGAUGAAAGAGCUUGAUGUCUCAGAUUGAAUAUAGGGCUUGAAAAGAAAUUUUGGGCAGAAGCAAUGAACAUGGCAUAUUACUUGAUCAACAGGUCACCCAGAGCAGCAUUAGAUGGGAAAGUAGUAGAAGAGGUAUGGACAGGCAGUCCGAUAGAUUACUUUGGUUUGAGAGUAUUUGGGUGCCCAACUUAUGUGCAUAUUUCUAAUGAGGAAAGAUCGAGCUUGAUGCGAAGUCUAGACAAUAUGUUUUUUUGGGGUAUCAGAAAUGGGUGAAAGGCUUCAAGCUCUGGGAUCCAAAGGCAAACAAGGUGGUGAUCAGUAGAGAUGCGAUUUUUGAUGAGAAAGUCAUGUUACAGUGUACUCAGAAAUGAGAGAAACAGGAACCAAAAAAUGGCAGCAAUAGUGAGCAACUGAUACAGGUGGAAUUAGAGACCCAUGAUAUAGAGGAUCGUGCUCGAAAUGUAAGGAAGUCUAGUUCAGAAGAUUAAAAGCAUCACAGUAUAACCACAAACAGACAUAGACGCACUAUCAAGCCACCUACCAGGUAUGGUUUUGAAGAUUUGGUUUCUUAUGCACUAAUUACUAGUAGUAGGGAUCCUACUACCUUUCAAGAGGCAAUACACAACUAAAAGAAAAGUGGAUGGAUGGGUGCUAUGGUGGAGGAGACUUAGUCUUUUGCAUAAGAACCAGACAUGGGAGUUGGUGGAGCUUCUAGAGAGGAAGAGAGGAAUAUGAUGUAAGUGGGUGCACUAGAAGAAAGAAACAGUUUCAGAAAAAAAUAGUGAAAGGUUCAAAGCUCGUUUAGUAGCAAAGGGUUACUCAUAGAGGAAAGAGGUUGACUAUGAUGGGAUUUUUUCCCCCCGUGGUCAGACACACUUCCAUUAAGAUAGUGUUGGGCUUAGUAGCACAUUUUGACAUGCAGUUGGAGCAAAUGGAUGUAAAGACAACUUUUCUUCAUGGUGACUUAGUGGAAUUGGUUUAUAUGGUACAACCAUAAGGGUUUAUUCAACCUGGACAAGAGCACUUGGUCUAUAAAUUGAGAAAAUCACUUUAUGGGUUGAAGUAAUCCCCAAGGCAGCGGUACAAGCGAUUUGACUCCUACAUGAUCAAGAUUGGCUACAAGAGAUGUGAGUAUGAUUAUUGUGUUUAUGUAAAAAGCCUAGAUGAUGAUUCAUUUAUUUUUCUAUUACUCUAUGUGGAUGACAUGUUAAUUGCUACAAAGAGUAUGAUUAAGGUCAAUAAGUUGGAGUCUUUGUUGAGCAAGGAGUUUGACAUGAAGGAUUUAGGUGCGGCCAAGAAGAUCCUUGGGAUGGAGAUUCAUAAGGAUAGAGUUUCAGGGAGACUAUGGUUAUCUCAGCAUAGCUAUGUCAAGAGAGUGUUGAAGAGGUUUAACAUGGAUAAUGCAAAACUGGUAAGUACACCCUUAGCAGAUCAUUUCAUAUUGUCUACUAAUUAAUGUCCAAAAAUAGAUGAUGAAGUAAAAGACAUGUCAAAGGUUCCUAAUGCAAGUGCAGUGGGAUGCUUGAUGUAUGCUAUGGUUUGUACAAGACCAUAUUUGACACAUGUUGUUAGUGUGUUGAGUAAGUUUCUAUCAAAUCCGGGAAUGCAUUGGGAUGCAAUAAAGUGGAUCUUUAGAUACUUAAAGGGUACUACAGACUAUGGCAUCAUGUUUAGCAAACAACAAAGUAAUCCUUCAAUUAAGGGAUAUGUUGAUGCAGACUAUGCAAGAGACUUGGAUGAUAGGAGGUCUACCACAGGUUAUGUAUUCACCCUUGGUGGAGGACCUAUUUGUUGGAAGCCUAUGAUACAUUCUCUAAUUGCACUAUCUACUACCGAGUCAGAAUAUAUGGCAAUAGUUGAGGCUGCAAAGGAAUCAUUAUGGCUUAUAGGUUUGGUCAAGGAGUUGGGUAUUCAACAAGGUGGAGGUCAAUUAUAUUGUGACAAUCUGAGUGCCAUUUAUUUGGCAAAGAACCAGGUGUAUCAUGCAAGGACCAAACAUAUAGAUGUGAGGUUUCAUAAGAUCAGGGAAUUGGUUUCUUUUGGUGAAUUGUUACUUGAGAAGGUUCACACCUCUGAGAAUGCAGCAAACAUGUUGACAAAGCCUGUUACCACAGAAAAGUUCAAGCAUUGCUUGAACUUGAUUAAUGUCUCCAGAUGUUAGAUAGGAGAUUCCCUAACCUAUUGUCUCAGGUAGAGUUACUAGUUAUGUUUCUUGUUUCCUAAGGGGGGUGAUUAUUUGCCAAGAUGGAGAUUGUUGUAGUAUGUGGCUCAUAUUGAAUGAAAGACAUAUGGAGAAAAAUAGGCAAAUGUCGGAGCGACGACAUUUUCCAUUCAAGCUUGUAUUUUUAUUGUUGUGGGCGAACGAUAGGUUAGGGGGGGGGGGGGGGGGAAAAAAAAAAAAAAAAAAAAAAGGGGGGCAAAUCCCCCCGGGGGAUGGGGGAGGGGGAUUUUUUGGAAUUUUUUUUUUUGGGGGGUAGAAAAAAACCCCUUUUUUAAAACCCUAAUUUUUAAAAAAAGGGAAAGUUUUUUUCCCGUUUCCCGGGGGGGGGGGGAAGGGGUGGAACCCCGUAAAACCGGGGGGUUUUUUUUUUUUUUUUUCCCAUUUUUCCCCCAAAAUCUUUGCUAAAAAUCCCCCAUAUUUUUUUUUAAAAAAAAAAAAAAAAAAAAAUUUUUUGUUUUUAAUUAAAAAAGAAAAAAAUUUUAAAAAAAAUUUUUAUUUUUUGUUUUUUUUUUGGGGGGGGGAAAAAAAAANNNNNNNNNNNNNNNNNNNNNNNNNNNNNNNNNNNNNNNNNNNNNNNNNNNNNNNNNNNNNNNNNNNNNNNNNNNNNNNNNNNNNNNNNNNNNNNNNNNNCAUAUUGAAUGAAAGACAUAUGGAGAAAAAUAGGCAAAUUUUGGAGGGAGGACAUUUUCCAUUCAAGCUUGUUUUUUUAUUGUUGUGGGCGAACGAUAGGUUAGGGGGGGGGGGGGGGGGAGAGAGAGAGAGAGAGAGAGAGGGGGGGCAAUGCCCCCUGUGGUAUGGUGUAGGGGUAUUUUUGGAAUUUCAUUACUUGAGGGUUAGUAUAAAUACCCUUUUUAUAUAACCUUAAUUUUAGAUAUAGUGAAAGUCUUCUUCCCUGUUCCCGUGGACGUAGGCAAUGUGUUGAAUCACGUUAAAUCUGUGUGUUUUUCUUUUCGUUUUCUCUAAUUUUCACCAUAAAUCAUUGCAUAAAACUCAACAAUAUUAGUUAUGAAAGAAAAAAAAAAAAAAAACUUGUAAGUAUCAAAUGAAACAAGAAAAAUAGUUAAAGAAAAGUUUUAAUUAUUGAUAUUAGUUAUGGUAGGGAAAAAAAUAACCUAUAAAGUAUCAAAUUAAACAACAAAAAUAGAUAAUUUAAAAAAAAAAUUAUUAAAAAUUAAAAAAAAAUUCAAACAAUAUUUCAAAAGAUUUUUUUAAAAAAAAAAUAGAAAGAAGUAUGAUUAUAAAUUUUUAAGAAUUUAACAUUUUUUUUUUAACAAAACUUAAAAAAAAAAAUCAAUAAUUUUUUUGUUAGAAAUUAUUAAUAUAUUUAGUUACUAUAUUAGAAUUAUAUAUUUAGUUAGUAUAUGUUUAUUUAUUUAGUUACCAUAUCUCUUAUUUAAUUAAUUAUUAUAUUGGAAUUAUUAUUAUUUUUAGAAGUAAUGGUGCAUUAGUUUUUAUUUCCUUUUAUUAGGUCUAUUUAAAUUCUAAUGGUAUUAUACCUAUUUUUAAAAGAAUUUAUGAUAAGAAAUUUUAAAUUUUCUUUUCUGUCUUUUACUCUUUGAGUCCCUUUUGGAUUUCAAUAUUUCUAAUAAAUUUUAAGUAUUUUUUAAAAAUAAUUAAAUUGAUAAAACUUUUAUUUAAAAUUUAUUUCUAACAAUAUAAUAUAGAGGCAGCACCAUUAUUAUCAAUUGUAAAUUUGUUGCGUCAAGAUUAAACCUAAAAGCUUAGGUAUUUUAAAAAUAUUAAAGUCAACCAAAACAACCUGCCACUAAAAAAAAUUCUAAAAUUUUGGGAUAAUGAAUAACACACAAUUAAAAUAAAAUCAUGAAAAUAAAAGAAUAUAUAUAUAUAUAUAUAUAUAAAUAAAAUCAUGAAAAUAAAAGAAUAUAUAUAUAUAUAUAUAUAUAUAUAUAUUUCUUCUUUCACUAAUUCAAUCUAGUAAAUAAUUUAAUCACCAGUAAAAUAAAAAGGAGAGAAGACAUACCUUGCUAGGGUUAAAGAAAGCUUUGAUCCUUUGGAAACUAGAGAAUUCUUUCUUGGCUGGGUGAUCUUCUCUAUCACCAAGGCUUCCUCUUGAUGGCUGAGGCCAAUAGAUCUGAUCUUGGGCGUAUAUAAGAUGUAUCCCACAACUUUUCAAUUUAAAGGAUUCGUUAUCGCCACAUCGAAAAGAGCCACCGCCCAUUGGAGUGUAAAGAGCCUUCAAGGUGUUCCACCGACUGGAUCGAAACUUACUUGGAAUGUGAAUUUGAGGGAAAUAGGUCACCCACAAUGCUGGAUCUGAUGUAGCACGACUAUCGUAGCAUAUGUAGUCAUACGAUAAACAUCGGAGAUAGUAGCCUUUACAUUCUGGAUCAAACCAUAUAUCACCAAUUUGUUUAGAUUGAUCACCAUGGGAUAGUGUCAAUAUACAUCGUGGAAAAUCGUCACAUGUGGUCUCACAUUCACCAUCAUCAAGAGGAACAUGAUGGAAGAAUAAAACAAAUCCCAACAAGUUGUUAUCUUCACGCCAAUUCAUUGGAAGCAAGCUCUACUGUUACUUCACAUCCCAUUCUCUGAUGACUUACCCACUCUGGUAUUCCACUACUUCCUGGAAUAACAAUAUUGCAUUGCUGCAGAAAAAUGUCAUGUAAAUCUCAUGCAAGAAAAAAAUAAAAAAUAAAAAAUAAUAAUUAUGCCAUGAAAAUGAUACUGAAAUUUUGAUAUAGAGGGUUCGAGGAGAGACCAGAGGAAUAGACUCGAGGAUGUUUCAGUUUCCAGACAUGGACAACCAUGUGCCUCUAUUCGUGUUAGACUUGAUGGAAGCUCUGCAAUUUCUUCAAGCAUCGGACAGUGAUUCAUGAGAAGGGUUUCGAGAUUAGAAAGUUGAGUGAUGCCAACAGGUAUGCAAUGAAUAUGGUUUUCACUUGCAUCUAAAAAUUGCAGUAAGGAUAAGCACCAUAAAUCACUGGGGAUUUCUCCUUCCAUCAUAUUGCAACCACCUAGAUCUAGACUUCUUAAGCAACAUCAUAAGCUUCUCAAGUUGUUGGGCAACUUGUGGAGCUUUGAAUAAUUACGAACAGAAAGACUUGCAAGACGUGUCAAAUUACCAAUGUUGCUGGGAAGACUCACAAGCUUCUCACAUUUGUACAAUUCCAAAUCCCAAAGACCUCUUAGAUGUUCAAUUGAUGAUGGCAGCUCUGUUAUAGCCAUUUCACGCAAAUAAAGGCAUUCUAAAUGUUCCAUAUCCUCUGUGAUCUCCCAAAAAGUUUCUAUAUUUGAACAACCAUUAAGAGAGAGGCGUUUGAGGGAUUUCAACCCACAGAUACUAUUUGGAAGACUUCUCGUUAAAUUUGGGUGAGAUGACCUAUUGAACUUUUCUGGAUCUCAAGAAACUUUUCAAAAUUUGAGCAACCACUGAGUAAAAGAGUUUCAAGGGCCUCUAAGCACCUAAUACUCUUUGGGAAUUCCUUAAUAGCGGUCUUCUCUAAAGAAAGUCUCUUUAAGCAUUUCAUGCUCCCUUGGAUCUCCGGGAAUUUUUGAAAGUUUGAGCACUCUGAGAGGUCAAGACUUAUAAGAGAUUCUAAAUAUCCAAUGCUGUCAGGGAGUUCCAUAGUACCACUCUGAGAUAAAUCAAGCUCCCUUAGAAGUCUCAUAUUGGUAAAUAUAUCUGAAAAUUUCUCAAACUUUAAACAUUUAUUAACAUAAAGAAUUUCGAGAGAUGUUAAGGACCCAAUGCUAUCUGGGAGUUCCUUAAUAGCAGUCUGAUGUAAAGAAAGUUUCUUCAAACAUUUCAUAUUCCUUCUAAUCUCUAGAAAUUUCUCAAAUUUCAAGCAAUAUGUGAGGUCAAGAGUUUCGGGAUAUUCCAAAUACCCUAUGUUGUCCGGGAGUUCUUUAAUACCACUUUCACGUAAAUUAAUCUCCCUUAAAUGUCCCAUAUAGGUAAAUAUAUCUGGAAAUUUCUCAAACUUUGAACAUCCUUUUAACCAAAGCUUCCUCAAAAACUUCAUAUUCCCAUGGAUCUCUGGAAAUUUCUCCAAGUUUGAACAAUUUGAGAGAUCAAGGACUUCAAGAGAUGCUAAAUGCAUGAUGCUACUUGGUAGUUCUCUAAUCCUAGUUUUGUUUAAAUAAAGCUCCUUCAAAUGUUUCAUAUUCCCAUGGAUCACAUCAAACUUCUCCAAGUUUUGACAAUGAUAAAGAUAAAGAACUUCAAGAGAUUCAAACUUCAUGCUAGUUGGGAAACUUUGGAGCUGUUCACAUCCUCCUAAAUUCAAGUAGGUCAAUCUUUUGAGAUGGCCAAUAGAUGAAUGAAGUUUACGCAAACUUGUACAACCUUUAAGAUUCAGUCUCUCCAAAUUCGCCAUGCUUGAGAAUUUUGGCAUUUUGACUAGGUGUUUUGAAUUACUUAGAUCAAUGCCCUUUAAUUUUCCAAGACACUGCAACAUAAGACAUUCUUUUAAUAAAACAAAAAUUCUUUUAACUUGAAAAUUAUCCUAAAGAAAAAAACAUUAAAUAAUGAUCAUACCUUAUUCCCUUUCCAAAGUUGUUUUAUGUUGCUAGACUUCAAGUUGAUUUCAAUAAGGUUCUCUCCAUAAAAUUUUGAAGGCAAAGACCUCAAAGUGCAUCCUUGCCAAUGAAGAUAUCUCAAAUUAUGAGGAAAUUCAAAAUCUUUAGGAAAAAACACUUUAUACUCCUCUCUCUUCAAACCAUCAUGAUCAUUGCAAUGGACUUUGAGCAACCUAAGUUUCUUCAUCUUGGCAAACACUUUUGUAGUGAACUGUAUUUCUUUUGAUCUAGACAAGUCGAGAGAUAUGGUUUGAAUACUUUCCAUCCCCUGGAAACAAGAAUGAAGAAUAAGGGAAUAACACAAGAUAAAAAUCCUAACUAAAAUUUUAUAGGCAAUUAAUCCUUAAAAAUGCAUUAUAAAUAUCUAAAUAACUAAGUUCAUAUAUUUAAUUCAUACCUCUUGUCUAGAAAAUGCAUCAUAAAUAUCAUCUACAUCCCACAAUCUGCUCCAUUUACUUAGGUCUCCAGGACAUUCUUCAUGAACAAUUGCCCAACCCAUUUCUUGUAUCAAGUCAUGCAUUUGUAUGAUGUUUUUUGAAAUAGUUACUAGACAUCUAUCACAAAGAACUCUUAUGUUGUAUGUUGCAAAUAAAUUGCAACCAUCUAAUAUUGUCAACAUAUAUAUAAUCUUUGUCUUCCCCUUUGAAGAAACAUGCAAUGUCAAGGAAAACCUCCUUUUCAAAAUGAUCAAGCCCAUCAAAACUUAUUCUAAGCACAUCAUUAAUUUUCUUGUUAGCAUUUUUUUUUCAAUUUAUCCAAUGCACUUUUCCAUUCAUCUAUUGCCAUGCCAUGGAGAGAAGAACCUAGAACUUUAAGGGCUAAAGGAAGACCUUGAGCAUAAUGUACCAUGCAAUUUGAGAGGUUUACAUAAUCUUCUUUGGGAACAUUUUGUUUAAAGGCAUGUCUACUGAAGAGUUGAAUAGCUUCCUUAUAAUGUAAUUGCUCAACCUUAUAUGAUAUAUCCACUCCAUACUCACCCAGCAAAUGUUGGUCUCUAGUUGUUAUGAUAAUUAUGCUUCCUAUACCAAACCAUUUAAGACUUCCAACCAAUAACUUUAAUUGCUCCAAAUGAUCCACAUCAUCAAUAACAAUAAGAACUUUUUUUGAGUCAAGUCUAGCCUUUAUUAUAUUGAUUCCUUUAUUGAUAUUGCUAAACUCUACAUCAUUCCCCAUUGUAUCAUGUAGAAGUUGUUGUUGUAGUUGAAGUUGACAACCCUUGUUGAAUGUCUCUCUGACAUCUUGAAGAAAGCUUGCACUGGUGAAUUGAUAUUGGAUCUCAUUAUAAACAAUCUUGGCAAUGGUAGUUUUACCAAUUCCACCAGGUCCAUAGAUCCCAACCACACGAAUGUCAUUCAAGUCACUACUUAACGAUUUUAGUUCUUUCAGGUGAAAAUCCAUCCCAACUAUAUCAUCGUUAAUAUGCAAAAGCUUAGAAUUCAUUGAUCUUUUAAAAAUCUGGUUAACAAUUUCCUUAAUAUGCUUUGACUCAUACCUGCCAAUUAUAAAGUACAAUUUAACACUUCAUGAGUUAUAAUGAAUUGCAAAAGAUAACAAAUAUAAAGUAAAUUUAGUGACAUUUACUUGCUUUUGUCAAUAUAAUAAAAGUAAUAGGAUGUAAAAAAUAUUAAAAGAACCCACUAUAUUGAGCAUUUUAUAGAUAAUGAAAAGGCAAGUAGUUUUGAGGCAAGUGUUAAUAAGAUCACAAAGCAAGCUUUACUAUACAAAAUUAUUAACUCGUUAAUUCAUAAUUUAAGACAACUAAAUCUUUACAACUAAUUAAAUCAAAAACACAAAUUAAGGAAGUUGAAGCUACCCAUCAUUCACAUGGAAACCACUAAGAUUGCUUGCUUCAGUCAAGGAAUCCCUCCACCUUUGCACCUUUUUCGCAUCUACAUUUCUUUCAUGAAUGGAAAAUGCCUCUCCGAAGCUCCCUGUUUGCUUUCGCACAUCACAAGGAUCCACGUGGUAGAACACCGGAAAGACUAUUUGUUCCAUUUCUUCCCUGCACUCCAUGAUCUUCGCUAACUCAUCCAAACACCACUUGGAAUGAGCAUAGUUUUUUGAGAACACAACUAUGGAAAUUCUUGAUUCUUCAAUACUUUUCAAAAGUUCUGAUUUGAUCUCCUCUGCUCCUUCAAGUUGAUCGUCUCUGAAAGUCUUAAUCCUCAUCCCAUGCAAAUUUACGAAUAAAUGAUCCGUAAAAUUGUUGCGGGUGUCUUCACCUCUAAAACUCAAGAACACUUCGAACUGAUAUUUACGGACUGAGGUAGAAGAAGAAGAGGGUUUUUGGGUAGAGGAAGCCAUCGUUGGAGUUGAGGAAGAACUUGUUCUUAGUCAAUACUUGAUAUGCCCACAGCAUGUUUGGGUCCUCAUAUGAAGCAAAACUAUUUUUCUUUUUUUUUUCUUUUUUUUUUUCUUUUUUUUUGGUGGAGUGGUUAGAUUGUAAAAAGCAAAGAUCGAUUUUCCCAAUACAUGCAAGCAGGUGAUUUGUCAGUUAAAUGUAAAGGAGUAAUGAGUGGGGAGGUCGGUGGCUUUUAAGAAGGGCCCACCCACCACAAAACCCGUAAAAGCCUUAAAUUAAAAUUUCAGUUUUCGGUAUUAUGGCCAUCGACGCUUUCCUUUGACCAGUCAAAACCUUUCAUUACAAUUGCCAUAGAUUGUAAAGUCUUUCAAUUCUAUUGCCACGGUGCAAUUUAAUAUAUAGUUUAUUCCUCCCUCCUAAAUUUUAACUUAAAUUCAAUUAAUUUUAAUUAUUUUUUUAUAUUCUAUUUAAUAUAUUAUUAAAAAUAUAAAAAUAUCAUAAUAAUCUUACCAGAGUCUUUCUUUAUUAAAAAAAAUAAACUUGGAUAUAAAAUUAUUAAUAUUUUUAAACAUAAAAAUAUAUGCAUAUAUCAUUAUUUUUUAUUUUAAAUAAAAAUCAUCAUUUUAAAUACAUACUUGAUUACUAAAAAAAAAUAAAAAUUUUAAUAAAUUAAUUAAUUUUAAUUAUCUUAUUAUUAAAUUUCAUUUAGCAUAUUAUGAAAAUGUAAAAACCAUAAUAAUAAUGAUUUACUGAAAACAAUCUUUUAUGUUUUUUGUAUAUUAAUUAUUUAUAAAUUUAUAUAUAUCAAAUUUAAAAAGUAAAUUAAAAAAUAAUCAUACAUAUAUCAUUAAUUAUUUUAUACCCUAAAAUACAUUCAAACUAAAUAGAACAUUAUUUUUAUAAUAAAUGUGGUAAGAUACUUUAUAAACUUAUUUAUGUUACUCGACGUACCCCUCUUCUUUAUUUUUAAGUUUUUAUUUUUCACUUUACAAACCAUCUAUGUUACUAAAUGUAUCCCUCUUUUUGUUUUACAAUUUUUAUAUUCUUUCAACUUUUCAAACUCAAUAUUCCUUUUAAAAAAAAAUUAAUUUUUAAAACUUUUUCUUUUAUAAAAAGUUUCUAAAACCAUAAAUUUUUUAGAUAAAUUUUAUUAUUAUAUUUUUCAUUAAAAAUGAAUAAUAACAUUGAAUUUUUUUAUAAGGAUGAAUCAUAAUAUUUCAAAAUUUCACAUAAAAUCUCAAUUACUUGAAAACGUAUGUUAAAUUAUAAGGAAUAAGUAUAAAUAAAGAGAUAAUAAUUAUUUCAAUAAAUAAUGAUAAAUUUUGCCAUAAUAAAAAAUAUAAAUUAUGCAUUUUUUUUUGUUAAAAGCCGAUCAUAUCAUCCACAAUACAAACUAAAGUGCAGGCUGUGUUGUCGGAUGAGGAACCCUUCUGGGGUCUUUUCCUUUUCGUAGAACCUUCAUAUUGCUUCCACAUUCUAUAAGGGUUCGUGUUGCAAGUAGGGAAAGGAAGGGAGAAAGAAACCUAAGAAAAGGACUUUUGAGUGCACUUUCAUGCAAAGUUCGAGGAAUCGAACAAAGAAGAGAACUCUUUAUCCAAGAAAACAUGAAUGUAAAUGGAGUAAAUAGAACGAAAACUGGAAUUAGUAUAUAAAGAUGAAGAAAGAGGUGGGUUUUCCUCACUUGAACACCGAUAACACAAGAUUGGUAGCUUGAUGCUAAUGGAAGAGGAAAAAACAAGAAUGUCGUGGUGUGGUAAUAGUGUUAUUGAGACUCCAAAAGGAAGGAUGUCAUAACUUUUGAAAUUUGAAAAGGCAUGGUAUGUGUGUCAUCGGUAGGAGGCAAAAGAAACCCCCAAAGGAGGCUUGAAGGUACAUUGGUUUGAGUGUCCAAUACAAAAAAAUUCCAAGGUCUGGAAAAUCAAGGAAAAUAUAUUCCCACUUAAAUGAAAAAGAAUUUUCCGUUUGACCUCAGCUAAGGGUCAACGAAAAAUUGAGGGCAAUUGUGGGCACCAUGGUAAAUGGGGAUAAACGGGCCUACCUAAAGAACUAUCUGCUGAUUUGGGCCAGUUUGGGCCUCGAUUAAAAGCCCAUUUAGCCUAAUUGCCCGACUUACUUAAAUAGCCCAACAAGUAAAGUGGAAAAUAAAAUGUGGGAGAACAACCCACAAGAAGUAGUGAAGGCAAUUAACGCUUGGGGCAGUAAUUGCUUGAAGUGGCUAAAAAGUGUCCCCAUGAUCUCCACACCUAUCGGUAGCUAAAAGGUAUAUGAAUACAACUGGCAAGUCUAAAAAGCAGAAAAAAAAAAAAAAAAAGGAUUGUAACAUGAGAAAUAUUACAUUUUCUAGAAAACCCUAGGUAACUUAAUAAUUGGAGGAGGUGAUUCCGGGGUAAAACUGAGUGAGCCCUGUGUGGCAAGGAUAAGGAAGCGCGCGAUAAGAAUAGGACUAUUGCUCAAGAAAUUCUCAACUCCAAUAGGCAUUACUUUACAAAAUAUUUUAAAAUGAUGAAAAUAAAAUAGGAAGUUUUAAUUUUGGUAGGUAGGAAGGAAAUAAUUGAGAAGUUUUUUUUUUUUUUUUUUUUUUAAAGUAAAAAUGAUAGCACUAGAGUCAAGAUUUUGCAAUGCCUUAAUUCUAUCAUAAAAUGAAUUUAUGUAUACUUACACAAAAUUUUCAAUAGAUGAUUACUAUAAGAAAAAAAAAUCCACCUUUUUUUAGCUUUAUUUUUAAUAUGAUUCUCAUUCUUAAAAUAAUAAAAUUUAAGUAAGUGUGUGUUUUUUUUUCUUCUGUUAUUAUCAAUUAUAAAAUUCAAAAUCUUUUCAUUUGAUUUGUUAAUGCUAUGUUUGGUUUAAGAAUUGUAAUAAAUAAAGAAAAUUAUUUUCUCAUAUUUGAUUUUAUUAUAAAAAAUAAAAAAAUAUAAUUAAAAUUAAUUAAAAACUUAUAUAUUUUUAAAUGAUUUAUUUUUAUAUAAAAGUAUUAAAUUAAAUAAAAUGAGUUUGAAGUGAUGUAUAAAAAUAAUUUAUUUCCUUUAAAUCUAUUUUUAUUUUAUAAUAGAAUCCAAAGUUUUAUAAUGCUUAAACGCGCGUAGAAAGAGAGCAAUCAAGCUUCAUGUGCUAGUAAUUUUUUUAUUUUUUUAUUUUAGUAUUUCUUGUUUGGAUUGAAACAAAAUCAACACAUCAUACAAAAUUAUAAUAAACUUUUAAUUUUCAAAUAGAUUAAGUGUAUAUUAUAUUUAUACAUAAUGCUAAAUCAUAGAUGCUUCAAAAAAUUACGUAGGAUAACUAAUUAUUUUUCUAUUAAAAAAAUAAAUGAUGUCAUUAAUUGUUGUAAACUAAUUUACAUUAUGGGAUGAUGAGUUGGUUGGUCAUUCUAUCAUCUUCAAAAUCAUCCCGGAAAAUAAAAGUAGUCCCAUAAUUAAUGAUUAAAUAAAAACAUUUUUUUUUCAUUUUUUAAAAAAAUAAAAUUUUAAUUUUAAUUUCUUCCACUCCUAUGAGGUGGCUAGUAAAGGUGGUUAAGAAACCAAAUGCUUGUACAUUUUCUGUUCUUUUCUUUUCUUUUAAUAUUACAUUUAUCAUGUUUUUAUUUUUUCAUUUAUGUAUUAAAAUUUUUAAAGGCGACUUCCUUAUUUAAUAAGAGAAGUAAGUGUCUCUCCCAAUUAGAGUUUAUAAUACCCCUUGGUUUUUUUUUUUUUAUUAUUAUUAUAGAAAGUUGAAUAAUUUAAUCAUAAAACAAGAGCAAGUGUGGAAAAUUAUAGUCCUAUAUAAAAUGUAGGAGCUCUCAUAAAUUUAUCUUGAAAAAAUAAUAAUUUUAAAAAAUCAAUUCUUAUACAAAAUUAGGUAUUAAAAAAAAAAAAUUGACUACCUCAAAUUUUAAAAAUCUUGAAAGUAAUUUUUAAAAAUAUAAAAUUUAUGGUCCAUGCAAGUUAUUGGAUUUCAUAUAUAAAUAGCUAUUAUUUUCCUUUUUUACAAAACAUGGAAUUAGUAAGCCGGAGGGCACUUAGACACAUAUACAUUAAAAUCGAGGGAAAUAUGGUAUCCUCAUUUUUUUUUUUUUUUUAUGAAAAAUUAAAGAAAAUGAAUAUGCCUAAAUAAAUGGUUUGUAUGGAUUGAGAUUAUUAUAAGAUGAAAAUGACUACACUCCAAUAUGCUAAUAUUCAUGCCAUAUUUUAGUCGUGUUAUCAUGUUACAUCAAAAUUAUCAUCCUGAUAUUUUUUUUAUAUAUAAAUUUAAUAAUAUGGUACAUAACUUUUGUAGAACAAAAAGUUUAUAAGCUAGUCUUGCUAAAUAAUUGAAGCUACUUUGGUCACUAUGCAUAUGAUCUUAAUAGAUAAAUGAGGAUAAUUUAUCAUUGUUUCAAAAUCAUUCUUGAAAAUGCUUGUAAAUAAUUUCAAAUAAAUAAAAUUAUCCAUACCUAAAAGCAUACAAAUUAAAAUCAACAAUUCAAAUUAUCCAUACUUAAAAACAUACAAAUUAAAAUUACUAAUUCACAUUAUACAUGCUUAAAAACAUAUAAAUAAAAAUCCACAAUCCAAACAAAGUGUCUCUUUUAUGGCAUUCUCAUUCUGGUUCAAUACCGCAUCUCUACCAUCCUUCCAAUUCCAUAACCAAUAGUUAGUCUAGUUUCCAUGCGCAACCUGACCAAUGGUUAGUCAUAGUUUAAUGAGCAUAUUAUGACAAUAAUUAUCCUGUGCUUUUUCAUCUUUAGAAAUGAAACAAAGAGCAAAAUAAAUAUUAAUUCAUGCUAUGUAAUUGAAAAACAUAUGAUAAUUGUUUUGGUCUACCAAUUAAAAAAUGAAGCUCUAAAUAAAAAUUUUAAUUAAUUCAAACAAAAACUCUGGCCUACCAAAACAGCUACGGUAAUAUGGUUUUUCUUUCUAAAUUCAUUAGUUCAUUCCAAAGAUAAAACUUUGAUAGGUUCUAAGAUAUUUAUUAGAAAAAAUAAAGGAGUUUUAACUUUAGAUUGGCCUAAGAAUACAGGAUCUCCAAAUUUCAUAAACACUUGGAAUAAUUAAAAAUAAAAUAAAAUAAAAUAAAAUAAAUACAUAAAAAGGAAAAAAGAAAUUUGAAUUUCCUGACCAUAUCUAAUUCUGUAUUGAACUCUAUAUUCUUCCAAGCAUGUAAUCAUUUUAAAAUAUGUCUAUAUAUUUUUUUCCAUUAAUUCUUCUAAAUAUUUUAAACCUUAUGGAGUAGAGUUGGAAACCACAGAUAUCUUCAUUUUUUUUUAGUAUGAUUUCUUUUCAUAAAAACCUUUUAUUGUAUUGUAAUGAGUAAAUAAAAAAAAUAUAGACAUAAACUGAGAAGCAUGUAAGUUACAUGUUUCAAACAAUCUUGAUAUGGCCUUAAAGGAGUGGUUGAGUUAGAUAAGUAGGGGGCAAAGUAAAUUCUUUUUUUUUUUUCAUAAAAAAAACAUGAAAUAUAAUAAACAUACAAAUUUUUUUACAUUUCAUGAAGUGCUUUAUCAUUUAACAAAAUAAGUGAUUAUUGAUAUUAGUUAUGAAAGAAAAAAUAUAUAAAAUAAAAAAUGAAACAACAAAAUAGAUAAAGAAAAGUUUUAAUUAUUGAUAUUAUUUAUGAAAGAAAAGAAGAUAUAAAGUAUGAAAUGAAACGACAAAAAUACAUAAUUUUUUAAAAUUUUGUUUAAAAAUUAACAAAAAUUCAAACAAUAUUUUCAAACGAAUUUUAAAAAAUAGCAAGAAAGGUGACCAUAAAUUUUAAAGAAUUUCACAUUUUUUUUAACAAAACUUUAAAAAAUUCAAUAAUUUUACUAAUAAAUUUUAAGAAUCAUUUUUGAAAUAAUUAAAUUGAUAAAAUUUUUAUUUAAAAUUUAUUUCUAACAAUAUAAUAUAAAUGUAGCAUCAUUAUCAAUAGUAAAUUGGCGAAACUAUGGGAUCUAAAAUUUUGGGAUAAUUAAGAACACAUGAUUAAAAUAAAAUCAUGAAAAGAAAAGAAAAAAAAAUAUAUCAGCUGGGUUAUGAUUUCAAAUGUUUUCUAGAUAUUUCAUUUUUUUGCUAAUUCCAUCUAAUAAAUAUUAUAUUCACUAGUGAAUGAAAAAAGAAGAGAGAGAACACAUACCUUGCUAGAGGUUAAAGAAACCCUUGAUCCUUUGGAAACUAGAGAAUUUUUCCUUGGAUGAGUGAUCUUCUCUAUUAGCAGGCCUUUUUCCCGACGGCUGAGGCCAAUGCUUCUGAUCUUGGGCAUAUAUGAGAUGUAUCCCACAACUUUUCAUUUUAAAGGAUGCGUUUUCGCCACAUGUAAAAGAGGCAUUAUAGACACGAUUGUAAAAGUGAGCCUUGAAGUUGUUCCACUUUCUGGAUCGAUACUUGCUUGGAAUGCCAAUCUGCGGGAAAUACGUCACCCACAGUGCUGGAUCUGAUGUGCUACCACUGUCGUAGCGUUCGCUGCUACAUGAUAUACCUUCAAUGCAGUAUCUUUUACAAUGAGGAUGAAAAUGAAUAUUAUCCAGUCGUUUAGAUUGAUCACCAUGGGAUAUCGCCAAUUCACAUUGAGGAAAAUAAGAUGUUCUCACGCAUUCAUCAUCAUCAAGGGGAACAUGAUGGAAGAAUAAAACAAAUCCUAACAAGUUAUUAUCUUCAUACCAAUUCAUUGGAAGCUCCACACUUACUUCACAUCCCAUUCUUUGAUGACUUACCCACUCUGGUAUUCCACUACUUCCUGGAAUGAUAAUAUUAAAUC
rnacentral:lncRNA from 1 species